rnacentral:rRNA from 1 species
UACGAACUGCGCAAACGUUAUUCGGAAUCACUGGGCUUACAGGGUGCGUAGGCGGCGGAGAAAGUAGGGUGUGAAAUGCCUUGGCUCAACCAAGGCACAGCGCUCUAAACUACUUCGCUCGAGUGAGUCAGGGGUACGCGGAACUUCCGGUGGGAGCGGUGAAAUGUGUUGAUAUCGGAAGGAACACCGGUGGCGAAAGACGGGCGUGACUGGGGCUUAAACGUGACG